rfam:Bombyx mori DNA, contig: Bm_scaf20_contig14343, strain: p50T/Dazao, build 2, whole genome shotgun sequence.
CUUACUCAAAUUUGUACGGAGUUGGAAAAGCUUCCCUUCGUUGGCCGUUAGGGGCGCUGUUCCAACUCCAUACAAAUUUGAGUUA